rnacentral:rRNA from 1 species
GAUCAGCCAUGCCGCGUGCAGGAAGACUGCCCUAUGGGUUGUAAACUGCUUUUAUACGGGAAGAAACACCGCUACGUGUAGCGGCUUGACGGUACCGUAAGAAUAAGGAUCGGCUAACUCCGUGCCAGCAGCCGCGGUAAUACGGAGGAUCCAAGCGUUAUCCGGAAUCAUUGGGUUUAAAGGGUCCGUAGGUGGAUAAUUAAGUCAGAGGUGAAAUCUUGCAGCUCAACUGUAAAAUUGCCUUUGAUACUGGUUAUCUUGAAUUAUUGUGAAGUGGUUAGAAUAUGUAGUGUAGCGGUGAAAUGCAUAGAUAUUACAUAGAAUACCAAUUGCGAAGGCAGAUCACUAACAAUAUAUUGACACUGAUGGACGAAAGCGUGGGGA